rnacentral:rRNA from 1 species
AGCGAACGCUGGCGGCAGGCUUAACACAUGCAAGUCGAGCGCCCCGCAAGGGGAGCGGCAGACGGGAGAGUAACACGUGGGAACAUACCUUUUGGUUCGGAACAACUGAGGGAAACUUCAGCUAAUACCGGAUAAGCCCUUACGGGGAAAGAUUUAUCGCCGAAAGAUUGGCCCGCGUCUGAUUAGCUAGUUGGUGAGGUAACGGCUCACCAAGGCGACGAUCAGUAGCUGGUCUGAGAGGAUGAUCAGCCUCACUGGGACUGAGACACGGCCCAGACUCCUACGGGAGGCAACAGUGGGGAAUAUUGGACAAUGGGGGCAACCCUGAUCCAGCCAUGCCGCGUGAGUGAUGAAGGCCUUAGGGUUGUAAAGCUCUUUUGCCCGGGAAGAUAAUGACGGUACCGGGAGAAUAAGCCCCGGCUAACUUCGUG